AUAGUUACCUGGCAGGGGGAAUACCAUGAUCAAGAAGAUGGAUUCCCCAGGAUGAGGCUCUUCUACUGCACAUUUCGGUUGAGUUGACUCUUGCGAUUUCCCCAAAUGUGGGAACUCAACUGCAAAAUUUAUGGUAGUGGGGGGCUGCAUUUGCUUAGUCCCCUA